AUGGAGGCGGUCGCCGCCCUCGACGCCCGCGCCCUGUUCUCCCCUCCCACCGCCCUCCCCUCCUCCCCCUCCCCCCACCUCCGCCUCGCGGCCCGUCCGCGCGCGCUCGCUGCCUCCCCCGCCUUCGUCGCCGCCACCCCCAAGCAGCGCUUCCUGACCCCCCACCCGGACCCCGCCGGUGGCCGCGGCACCAGGGAUGUCGUCGCGAUGGUUAUCCCGUUCCUGAGGGGAACAGCGUUUGAGCAGCCGCCGCCGGAUUUGGCCUCGUUCCUUUACAAGAACAGGAUCGUGUACCUGGGGAUGUGCCUCGUGCCGUCGGUGACGGAGCUCAUGCUCGCCGAGUUCCUCUACCUUCAGUACGAGGACGCGGAGAAGCCCAUCUACAUGUACAUCAACUCCACCGGCACUACCAAGAAUGGCGAGAAAUUGGGUUACGAGACGGAAGCUUUUGCUGUAUAUGAUGCUAUGAGGUAUGUCAAAAUUCCAAUUUUCACACUCUGUAUUGGCAAUGCAUGGGGAGAAGCUGCUUUACUCUUGGCUGCUGGUGCUAAAGGUAACCGUGCCGCACUUCCAUCAUCGACGAUAAUGAUGAAGCAGCCAAUUGGUCGAUUUCAAGGUCAGGCGACAGAUGUUGACAUAGCAAGAAAGGAAAUACGAAAUGUGAAGAUAGAAAUGGUUAAGCUGCUGUCAAGACACAUUGGUAAACCAAUGGAAGAGAUUGCUCGAGACAUCAGACGGCCUAAAUACUUCAGCCCAAGCGAGGCAGUGGAUUACGGUAUCAUUGACAAGGUGCUGCACAAUGUGAAAAGCCAAACAGAUGCCGGCCUCGUGUCCGAAGUCAAGAAAGAAUUAAUUUAA
rnacentral:rRNA from 1 species